AUACUUUCAACUUUGUUACUUUCUCUUUUAACUCAUUUAUUUUUUUUUUCAUACAAGGAUUCAUUGUUUUUUACUAUUUUCCACAACUCUUGUGCUUGCUGAUACUGCUUUUGUUUUUCAAGUGUUGAAUAUGCUUUUUUAUAUAACUCAAGGAAUUGAAGGUAUUUUUUCUCGUUCCCGCGCGACAUCUUGGUCAUAAUAAAUAAUAAGUUUUUUUUCCAAUGAGGCGUAUUGAGUUUUCGAAUAGAAUCAUAAAAGUUUUUUUUGUUUUAGUUUACUCAAGAUAAUUGCCGUUACAUUGCAUCAUAAAAAGUGUUGGUUUCCAUCAGCAUUUAAAAGAAAUGGGAAAAACCAGGUUCGUAAUUAAAAAAAGAAUUCAGAAGAAGUUUUCUUUGAUUACAGUUUUGUUACUUUUCAUCUUGCUACAGUCGAAUUAUGUUGCAAAAAAUGGAAAACAUUAUUUGGAGAUAUUAUAGCUCGAUUUUUUCUCUCCUCGUUACUUAUAAAGAAAAAUAAAAAACAAUUGUAAUUGAAGUCAGAAAAAAAAAUAACAUAUAUUA